rnacentral:miRNA from 1 species
UUUAGAUCCUGGGUUCCUUCC